rnacentral:rRNA from 1 species
UACGAAGGGUGCGAAGCAGUUACUCGGAAUCACUGGGCGUAAAGCGUGCGUAGGCGGUUCGUUAAGUCUGCUGUGAAAUCCUGGAGCUCAACUCCAGAACUGCCCUCGAUACUGGAAGACUUGAGUCCGGGAGAGGUGAGUGGCAACUGCGAGUGUAGAGGUGAAAUUCGUAGAUAUUCGCAAGAACACCAGUGGCGAAGGCGGCUCACUGGCCCGGUACUGACGCUGAGGUGCGAAAGCGUGGGGAGCAAACAGGG